rnacentral:lncRNA from 1 species
UGUCGCAGACACUAAAGCAGUCAGUCAUGUUUUUCUGUGUUCUGAUCAACGCUGAAUAAACUUGUAAAUAAUGCUCUCCUGAGUGCAACUUUUGGCUGUGCUAAUUGCUGAUAGAGUGUGCAUGAGAUCUGGAAUGUGUACAAGAUAUUUUCUAGAAACUCAUGUCGCUGCGUGCCUACGGGAGGUCGAUGGAUCGUCCGGCAGAUGGCUUGGGGGCCAUGAUGGACUUUAUCUCCCUGGCAGUAUCCCAACAACAAGGUUUCGGGCCCAGAUUCACAGCACUUACAGGAGAGUAAGACUGCGACAGACUGCUGAAAGGUAUGUGGAAGAAAAGCGAAAGUGAGGCUUUUCUGUUUGCCGCGGCAAGGGCCUUUGAUGUCCGGCUGGCCUAAUUGGUCUGGGAGUCGAGCCAAACAGGCCUCAUGAUUUAUGAGCUGCUGAGAUAAGACGUCUCUGAAGUGAAUAAGAUUCACGGCUCAAGUAAAAGACUGAGAUGGAUCUUUUACAAUCCUCAGAAGCUGCUCCGUCUCCACCAAAGCUAAAUGGCCACAACUAUCAGACCUGGGCAAGGUACUGUGAGGGCCAGAUGAGAAAGCUUGGAGUGUGGAAUACCGUUUCUGAGGACCCCCCAGCCCCUGUGACAGAUGAAUGGACGGCACAGGACUCAAGAGCCAUGGGGAUAAUUUUGCUCUCAGUAGCUCCUGAAGAGUUAAUCACCCUGGCUGGCAAGGCCAGUGCCCGUGAGAUGUGGGACGGGCUUAGAGCCUGUCAUCUCCGACAAGAGGCUGGGUCUGUGUUGCUUUAUUUCAGAAAGCUGCACAGGAAGCGUUUGGAGCCAGGGAAGACCUUAGAGCCCACGUUUUACAUUUGCAGCAUCUCAGACAGGAAUUGACUCAGAGAGGUUUCAAUAUGCCUGAGUCACUGUUUGCAAUUCUCAUCCUGGACUCCCUGGAUGAAAGCUACCAUGCCGUGGCAAGUCAGCUGGCGACCCUCCCUGCGCAAGACCUCACUGCUACAAAGGUCUUGGCGACUUUGCAAAAUGAAUACGAUAGAAGGAAUGCAGCUGAGUCGGCUUGUGCGCUCCAGGGGGAGCAAUGUGGGACAGCAUUCCAGCCUCCAGGGGAGCCAAAGCGUUGGCAGCUGUGAAGUGCUGGAACUGUGGGACCCAAGGUCACACUCAGAAGUUUUGUCCAAAGACUGGAAAUAAACAAAGGAAGAAGCCAGCAGAUGGCAAGAAGCAGAGGGGGGGUGGAAAGCCCAAGCCAGGGAAAACAAUGCUUUGUUUGCUGGCACAGCCUCACCAAAGGCUAAAGGCAAGUCUGAUGGCCAGGAGCAGGGGGGCAAGCUGCAAAAGCCCACGCCGGUGGAAAACAAGGUUUUGCUUGCCAGCAAAGGCUGCUCCAAAGGCCAAGGCCAGGUUUGUUGUUGAUUCCGGCUGUACCCGCCAUGUCUCAAAGGACCGCCACCUAUUUAUCUCCUUCAAACCUCAAGAAGGUGAGAUCCACCUGGCUGAUGGAAAGACGUUGCGAAUUGCAGGAGAAGGGACUGUGAAACUGGCAAGUCUGCACACUACCAUCAAAGAUGUACUGUAUGUUCCAGGUGCUGCAGACAAUUUGCUCAGUGUCCCACAGCUGACUGGGCGUGGUUUUGAGAUUUCCUUCAAGAGGAGCGUCUGUGUCAUCAGAAAAGGCAAAGAGGACAUUUUGCAUGCAAAGUUUAUGGAUGGCUUGUUCUGUAUAACUUAUGAUGACAUUGGUGCUGUUGUGUCUAAUGCUGAUUCUUGUUGUGUUGCACAAACUAACAAAGUUCUUCAUGCAGGAUGCAUUCACGAUGCACACAGAAGAUUUUGUCACAUGUCUUGGCAGGCGCUGGCCAAGAUGCCAGAGAUGGUUGAGGGUUUGAACAUCAAACCCUGUAAGUUUCACAUGAAAUGUGUAUCUUGUGCAGAGAACAAGGUGAAGGUUGCUCCAAAAGGCAAGGAGUCUAGCAGGCAGGCUUCCAAACCCUACCAGCUAGUGCACGCAGACCUGGUUGGUCCACUUGCGCCCUCUUUGGGUGGAGCAAGGUACUUCAUGGUUCUAAUUGAUUCUUUUCCAGGUACAUUCAUGUGUUUAUGCUCGAGCAGAAAUCGCAAGCGUUUCCUAAGUUCAAGGCAUUCUGUGCUUGGUUGGAGAAUGUUCACGGUAAACGCAUUGGCUGUCUGUUUACUGAUCGAGGCGGGGAGUUCACUUCUCAGCAGUUUGAAGCUUUCCUGACUGAGAAGGGAAUCCAGCAUGACUUGUCAACGUCCUAGAUCGCCAUGGAUGAAUGGGCUUGCGGAGCGAGCAAAUCAAACGUUGCUGCAAGGAAUGAAAACAUUGUUGCAUGAUGCCAAUCUCCCUGAUAAGUAUUGGGGGGAGGCUCUGUCGAACUCGUUUGCUUACACUUUUAAUCGCAGAUUGUCAUCACCUAUUGGUUGUACUCCCUAUGAGAAGAUGUUUGGUAAGAAACCCAACAUCAAGCACAUGAGAAUCUUUGGUUCUGACAUGUGGGUACACACCCCACAAAGCAACAAGCUUGGGAAGCGUGGGGCACAUGGUUUGUUCAUGGGGUACGAAAAGGUGCAUACAGGGUAUGGAUGACCAACUCUAAGUCCAUUAAGUUCACAAAGAGUGUUGAGUACAAUCCUAAGUGGGGGGAAAAUGUGGGAAUUUUCCAGAGUUACCCAGAGGAGGAUGAAGGUGAUGUCAAAGAAGCAGCUAAAGCUGAGGAAGCUGCUGAGGAUGAUGAUGACGAUGAUGAUCAGAGUUCGGAUUCCAGUUCAGUGGGCGGCGCUGCUGCUGAUGUCAGUGACAGUGAUGACACAGCAGACUACAAGAGCGCAAAGGCCUCAGUCAGACCAUCUGAUGCGUCUGACAAUGAACUGGAAGAACCACUGUUCACCAUUGGUCACUUUUCUCCUAAGAAGGAGGAGAUGAGUCCAGAAGACUUGCGUCUAGUACGCAGAUCUGAAAGAGCCACGAAGGGCAGACCUCCAAAGAGAUUUGCUGAUGAGUUUGCUAAGACAGCAACUGCUGUUCUUAGUAGCUCAGAGAAGGUGUGGGAACCUUCAAGCUUCAAAGAGGUUCAGGAGUUAACCUCUAAAGAUGCUGAGCCUUGGCUUAAUGCCAUGAAGGCUGAAGUUGAUUCCUUGAAUAGGAACCAAACUUGGGAGUUGGUACCGGUAGUCCCAGGAAUGAGACUGGUUGGCAGCAAAUGGGUCUUCAAGGCCAAGACAGACCAGAAUGGCAAGGUUGUCAGACACAAAGCCAGAUUGGUUGCCAGAGGUUUUUCACAGGUACCAGGACAGGAUUACCACGAGACCUACUCACCCACCGUCAAAUAUGAGAGCAUUCGGCUGAUGCUCAAGAUUGCUGCGGAGGAGAAACUGCAUGUUUCCCAUCAUGACAUUAAUACAGCUUUUUUGUACGGGAUUUUGGAGGAGGAGCUGUUUAUGCUUCCACCUGAUGGGAUGCAGAUACAGAAGGGAAUGGUCUGUAAACUGCGGAAAUCCUUAUAUGGUCUCAAGCAGAGUGCCAGGUGUUGGAACACGAAAGCUCACUGAGACGUUGCUUUCUCUAGGUUUUCACCAGGGCAAAGCUGAUCCAUGUGUGUUUGUCAAGGAGGAGGGGCAAAACAAACUGUAUUGUUUAUGUUUUGUUGAUGAUCUUCUGAUGUUUUGGAAGAAUCAGGCUUUGUACCAAAGCACCCUAGCUCAGCUGAAGGAGCACUUUGACAUGAAGGAUCUUGGUGAGGUAUCCAACUAUCUUUCUCUGCAGGUGGAGAGGGACCAAGCAGGUAAUUUUCUGGUACACCAAACACAGAAAAUUGCUGAUGUAUUAACCAGGUUGAAUUUGGUUGAUGCAAACCCAGCAGACACACCGAUGGUGACAGGUUACCAGGUAGACAGUACUGCUGAAGCGUUUUCUGACACAACGCUGUACAGAUGCAUUCUAGGCAAGUUGAAUUUCAUUGCUAGAUGCUCAAGACCUGACAUAGCUGUAAGCUGUAACCUGCUUAGCAGACAUGCCAACAAUCCUACUGUUCAGGAUUGGAAAGCUCUGAAGCGCAUAGCCCGCUAUUUGAAAGGGACUUUGCACUACAGGCUGAGGUUCACCAGUCAGAAGACUGGAGGUCUUGAAAUCUUUGCAGAUGCAAGUUUUGGAAGUGACACCACGGAUGGUACAAGCACUUCUGGAGUAUGCUACAUGUACAACCACUGUCUGUUUGACUGGUUGUGCAAGAAGCAGACGACAGUGAGCCUAAGUUCCUGUGAAGCAGAACUCAAUGCUCUGUCAUUUUCACUCAUGGAUUGUGAAUGGUUGAUGCAACUGUUUAAGGACAUCGGAGUUUCUGUGAAAUGUCCUGUACAAGUGUAUCAAGACAAUAGAUCGUGUUUGGCUUUGCUGAACUCGGAGAGUUGCAAGCAAAGGACCAAGUACUUGCAGAUUAAGCUACAUCGUGCAAGAGAGUGUAUUCAGAAAGGACUCAUUCAGGUGUCCUACAUGCCAGGAAAUGAAAUUCCUGCUGAUCUGUUGUCUAAGGUUGUUAACAGAGAACAACUUAAGGUUUAUGUACAAAGGUUGCAAUUGGGUUGAACCACAGGUACUACAGGUUACACGGAAAGGGGGAGGAUGUUAGGAUAUUUCCGUUCCACCUUAAAAGGGAGCAGGCUUUGUGAGUCAGAGUCUGCGUAUUUCCUGUUCACAGGAUGUUUAUGUUUUCUGUUGCUUUCGUUUUCUCUCUGUGUCGCAGACACUAAAGCAGUCAGUCAUGUUUUUCUGUGUUCUGAUCAACGCUGAAUAAACUUGUAAAUAAUGCUCUCCUGAGUGCAACUUUUGGCUGUGCAUUAUCUGCUGAUAGAGCGUGCAUGAGCUCUGGAAUGUGUGCAAGAUAUUUUCUAGAAACUCAUGUCGCUGCGUGCCUACGGGAGGUCGAUGGAUCGUCCGGCAGACGGCUUGGGGGCCAUGAUGGACUUUAUCUCCCUGGCAGUAUCCC